GACGAACGCUGGCGGCGUGCUUAACACAUGCAAGUCGAGCGGUAAGGCCCUUUCGGGGGUACACGAGCGGCGAACGGGUGAGUAACACGUGGGUGACCUGCCCUCAGCUCUGGGAUAAGCCUGGGAAACUGGGUCUAAUACCGGAUAUGACUCCAUGACGCAUGUUGUGGGGUGGAAAGCCUUGUGCGGCUGAGGAUGGGCCCGCGGCCUAUCAGCUUGUUGGUGGGGUGAGGCCUACCAAGGCGACGACGGGUAGCCGGCCUGAGAGGGCGACCGGCCACACUGGGACUGAGACACGGCCCAGACUCCUACGGGAGGCAGCAGUGGGGAAUCUUGCGCAAUGGGCGAAAGCCUGACGCAGCGACGCCGCGUGAGGGAUGACGGCCUGG
rnacentral:rRNA from 1 species